UACAUUCUAGCUGAAACUUGCACGUGAUGGAACGUGUUAGUGCUUCAAUUUUUGGUUCCAGGUAAUUCCACACUAUGAGAAUAUGAAAGUUGUAAAAAAGUUACUUUUUCGUCGAAGUUACAGCUAGUGUAGAGAGAAAUGGGCACAUCUUCUCAUGCAAGCAUGAGGAGAGAAAUAGAGAGGAACGAAGGAACGGAAACAGGCAGGAUGAGACAAGAUAAAUUCAGGGCAUAUAGCCGAAAAAACUCUUCAAGCAAAAACAGAGUGAUACCAAGCAUGCAAGUGAAAUAAGUGAAGUCGACAAGCAUCAUGACGUUCUUGAAUCUUGAUGCCUAUAAUUUAUUGAUGCUACUGCAAGUGCCUGGUGAGGUAGAAAAGAAGAAUGACCAAACAAUUGGAACUCAUUGUUUCUCAUCAUCAAACUUCAAAAAGUAGAUAAUCUUCACAAAUACAGAAAAAUCAAGGAAAUUCACUUUCUAUUAGCAAAUCAAGGAGUAAUAUCUACAAAACCUUUCACACUCCAUUCAUUCUCAUUAACAUAUAAAUUAUUCUAAGAUGCAUUUAACCAAAUUUUUACACCUUCAUCUAUUAAUGCGCCUUGGAAGAGGCAAAAUAUCAAUCAAGUUGCAUGCAUUUCUAAAAACAUUUCAUUGUUUUAAUAAAACAAUAAAUCAAACAAAUGAACUGACCUUGGCCUUAACCUUGCAAUUUCAAACUCAAGCUCCUGAGCUUCAGUAUCAAUAAAGUACUCAAUCAACUCUUCAACAGUAUUGGAUAAAACCCAAGAUUAAUCCAACCCAUUACCAUAUCAGACAUGAUAACAAGAAACGCAAUGUUAACCAACUAUAAAUUAUAGGACCAAGAUUCAAGAAACCCAUGUAUGUAUAUAUAAAAUUUUACUUGGCGAAGAUCUAAUAUUGAUGCUACUUCAUGAAAUCUUGGCCGUCGAUUAGGGAUGAUUUUCACAGCCACUGAGAAUGCCGCCUCCAAGAAUGCCACCACCAACAAGAGAGAAAUUAUUAUGGUUGAUAAGGGUAAUUUUGAUGAAGCUAUUGCGGCCAAAGGAGAAGAAAUUCAGUGAAGAGGAGGAGGAAGAAAUCUCGUAAAGGAGAAGAACAAGGUUGAGUAUUCAGCGCUUGUGUAAUUGGAGAUAUUUGAGGGUAUUUUAGACAUUACUCAUGUCAAAAG
rnacentral:lncRNA from 1 species